GGGUUAGGGUUGGGCUUGGAGCUAGGAUUUUUCUGAGUGCAAUGAACCAACUCCCGAGUCUCUAGGACGUUCCUAAAACAAUUUGAUUUUUUCCCAUAGGAAUGCAUGGGUUAGGGUUAGGGUUAGGGUUGGAGCUAGGGUUAGGGUUAGGGUUAGGGUUGGAGUUAGGGUUAGUGUUGGAGCUAGGGUUAGGGUUGGGCUUGGAGCUAGGACUUUUCUGAGUGCAAUGAACCAACUCCCGAGUCUCUAGGACGUUCCCUAAAAAAAUUUGAUUUUUUCCCAUAGGAAUGCAUGGGUUAGGGUUAGGGUUAGGGUUGGAGCUAGGGUUAGGGUUAGGGUUAGGGUUAGAGUUAGGGUUAGUGUUGGAGCUAGGGUUAGGGUUGGGCUUGGAGCUAGGAUUUUUCUGAGUGCACUGAACCAACUCCCGAGUCUCUAGGACAUUCCUAAAAAAAUUGAUUUUUUUCCAUAGGAAUGCAUGGGUUAGGGUUAGGGUUAGGGUUGGAGCUAGGGUUAGUGUUAGGUUUAGGGUUGGAGUUAGGGUUAGUGUUGGAGCUAGGGUUAGGGUUGGGCUUGGAGCUAGGAUUUUUCUGAGUGCAAUGAACCAACUCCCGAGUCUCUAGGACGUUCCUAAAAAAAUUGAUUUUUUCCCAUAGGAAUGCAUGGGUUAGGGUUAGGGUUAGGGUUGGAGCUAGGGUUAGGGUUAGGGUUAGGGUUGGAGUUAGGGUUAGUGUUGGAGCUAGGGUUAGGGUUGGGCUUGGAGCUAGGAUUUUUCUGAGUGCAAUGAACCAACUCCCGAGUCUCUAGGACGUUCCUAAAAAAAUUUGAUUUUUUCCCAUAGGAAUGCAUGGGUUAGGGUUAGGGUUAGGGUUGGAGCUAGGGUUAGGGUUAGGGUUAGGGUUGGAGUUAGGGUUAGUGUUGGAGCUAGGGUUAGGGUUGGGCUUGGAGCUAGGAUUUUUCUGAGUGCACUGAACCAACUCCCGAGUCUCUAGGACAUUCCUAAAAAAAUUUGAUUUUUUCCCAUAGGAAUGCAUGGGUUAGGGUUAGGGUUAGGGUUGGAGCUAGGGUUAGGGUUAGGGUUGGAGUUAGGGUUAGUGUUGGAGCUAGGGUUAGGGUUGGGCUUGGAGCUAGGACUUUUCUGAGUGCAAUGAACCAACUCCCGAGUCUCUAGGACGUUCCCUAAAAAAAAUUGAUUUUUUCCCAUAGGAAUGCAUGGGUUAGGGUUAGGGUUAGGGUUGGAGCUAGGGUUAGGGUUAGGGUUAGGGUUAGAGUUAGGGUUAGUGUUGGAGCUAGGGUUAGGGUUGGGCUUGGAGCUAGGAUUUUUCUGAGUGCACUGAACCAACUCCCGAGUCUCUAGGACAUUCCUAAAAAAAAUUGAUUUUUUUCCCAUAGGAAUGCAUGGGUUAGGGUUAGGGUUAGGGUUGGAGCUAGGGUUAGUGUUAGGUUUAGGGUUGGAGUUAGGGUUAGUGUUGGAGUUAGGGUUAGGGUUGGGCUUGGAGCUAGGAUUUUUCUGAGUGCAAUGAACCAACUCCCGAGUCUCUAGGACGUUCCUAAAAAAAUUUGAUUUUUUCCCAUAGGAAUGCAUGGGUUAGGGUUAGGGUUAGGGUUGGAGCUAGGGUUAGGGUUAGGGUUAGGGUUGGAGUUAGGGUUAGUGUUGGAGCUAGGGUUAGGGUUGGGCUUGGAGCUAGGAUUUUUCUGAGUGCACUGAACCAACUCCCGAGUCUCUAGGACAUUCCUAAAAAAAUUUGAUUUUUUCCCAUAGGAAUGCAUGGGUUAGGGUUAUGGUUAGGGUUAGGGUUGGAGCUAGGGUUAGGGUUAGGGUUAGGGUUGGAGUUAGGGUUAGUGUUGGAGCUAGGGUUAGGGUUGGGCUUGGAGCUAGGAUUUUUCUGAGAGCACUGAACCAACUCCCGAGUCUCUAGGACAUUCCUAAAAAAAUUUGAUUUUUUCCCAUAGGAAUGCAUGGGUUAGGGUUAUGGUUAGGGUUAGGGUUGGAGCUAGGGUUAGGGUUAGGGUUAGGGUUGGAGUUAUGGUUAGUGUUGGAGCUAGGGUUAGGGUUGGGCUUGGAGCUAGGAUUUUUCUGAGUGCAAUGAACCAACUCCAGAGUCUCUAGGACGUUCCUAAAAAAAUUUGAUUUUUUCCCAUAGGAAUGCAUGGGUUAGGGUUAGGGUUAGGGUUGGAGCUAGGGUUAGGGUUAGGGUUAGGGUUAGGGUUGGAGUUAGGGUUAGUGUUGGAGCUAGGGUUAGGGUUGGGCUUGGAGCUAGGAUUUUUCUGAGUGCACUGAACCAACUCCCGAGUCUCUAGGACAUUCCUAAAAAAAUUUGAUUUUUUCCCAUAGGAAUGCAUGGGUUAGGGUUAGGGUUAGGGUUGGAGCUAGGGUUAGGGUUAGGGUUAGGGUUGGAGUUAGGGUUAGUGUUGGAGCUAGGGUUAGGGUUGGGCUUGGAGCUAGGAUUUUUCUGAGUGCACUGAACCAACUCCCGAGUCUCUAGGACAUUCCUAAAAAAUUUGAUUUUUUCCCAUAGGAAUGCAUGGGUUAGGGUUAUGGUUAGGGUUAGGGUUGGAGCUAGGGUUAGGGUUAGGGUUAGGGUUGGAGUUAGGGUUAGUGUUGGAGCUAGGGUUAGGGUUGGGCUUGGAGCUAGGAUUUUUCUGAGUGCAAUGAACCAACUCCCGAGUCUCUUGGACGUUCCUAAAAAAAUUUGAUUUUUUCCCAUAGGAAUGCAUGGGUUAGGGUUAGGGUUAGGGUUGGAGCUAGGGUUAGGGUUAGGGUUAGGGUUGGAGUUAGGGUUAGUGUUGGAGCUAGGGUUAGGGUUGGGCUUGGAGCUAGGAUUUUUCUGAGUGCACUGAACCAACUCCCGAGUCUCUAGGACAUUCCUAAAAAAAUUAGAUUUUUUCCCAUAGGAAUGCAUGGGUUAGGGUUAUGUUUAGGGUUAGGGUUGGAGCUAGGGUUAGGGUUAGGGUUAGGGUUGGAGUUAGGGUUAGUGUUGGAGCUAGGGUUAGGGUUGGGCUUGGAGCUAGGAUUUUUCUGAGUGCAAUGAACCAACUCCCGAGUCUCUUGGACGUUCCUAAAAAAAUUUGAUUUUUUCCCAUAGGAAUGCAUGGGUUAGGGUUAGGGUUAGGGUUGGAGCUAGGGUUAGGGUUAGGGUUAGGGUUGGAGUUAGGGUUAGUGUUGGAGCUAGGGUUAGGGUUGGGCUUGGAGCUAGGAUUUUUCUGAGUGCAAUGAACCAACUCCCGAGUCUCUAGGACGUUCCUAAAAAAAUUUGAUUUUUUCCCAUAGGAAUGCAUGGGUUAGGGUUAGGGUUAGGGUUGGAGCUAGGGUUAGGGUUAGGGUUAGGGUUGGAGUUAAGGUUAGUGUUGGAGCUAGGGUUAGGGUUGGGCUUGGAGCUAGGAUUUUUCUGAGUGCAAUGAACCAACUACCGAGUCUCUAGGACGUUCCUAAAAAAAUUUGAUUUUUUCCCAUAGGAAUGCAUGGGUUAGGGUUAUGGUUAGGGUUAGGGUUGGAGCUAGGGUUAGGGUUAGGGUUAGGGUUGGAGUUAGGGUUAGUGUUGGAGCUAGGGUUAGGGUUGGGCUUGGAGCUAGGAUUUUUCUGAGUGCAAUGAACCAACCCCCGAGUCUCUAGGACGUUCCUAAAAAAAUUUGAUUUUUUCCCAUAGGAAUGCAUGGGUUAGGGUUAUGGUUAGGGUUAGGGUUGGAGCUAGGGUUAGGGUUAGGGUUAGGGUUGGAGUUAGGGUUAGUGUUGGAGCUAGGGUUAGGGUUGGGCUUGGAGCUAGGAUUUUUCUGAGUGCAAUGAACCAACUCCCGAGUCUCUAGGACAUUCCUAAAAAAAUUUGAUUUUUUCCCAUAGGAAUGCAUGGGUUAGGGUUAGGGUUAGGGUUGGAGCUAGGGUUAGGGUUAGGGUUAGGGUUGGAGUUAGGGUUAGUGUUGGAGCUAGGGUUAGGGUUGGGCUUGGAGCUAGGAUUUUUCUGAGUGCAAUGAACCAACUCCCGAGUCUCUAGGACGUUCCUAAAAAAAUUUGAUUUUUUCCCAUAGGAAUGCAUGGGUUAGGGUUAGGGUUAGGGUUGGAGCUAGGGUUAGGGUUAGGGUUAGGGUUAGUGUUGGAGCUAGGGUUAGGGUUGGGCUUGGAGCUAGGAUUUUUCUGAGUGCACUGAACCAACUCCCGAGUCUCUAGGACAUUCCUAAAAAAAUUAGAUUUUUUCCCAUAGGAAUGCAUGGGUUAGGGUUAGGGUUAGGCUUGGAGCUAGGGUUAGGGUUAGGGUUAGGGUUGGAGUUAGGGUUAGUGUUGGAGCUAGGGUUAGGGUUGGGCUUGGAGCUAGGAUUUUUCUGAGUGCAAUGAACCAACUCCCGAGUCUCUAGGACGUUCCUAAAAAAAUUUGAUUUUUUCCCAUAGGAAUGCAUGGGUUAGGGUUAGGGUUAGGGUUGGAGCUAGGGUUAGGGUUAGGGUUAGGGUUGGAGUUAGGGUUAGUGUUGGAGCUAGGGUUAGGGUUGGGCUUGGAGCUAGGAUUUUUCUGAGUGCACUGAACCAACUCCCGAGUCUCUAGGACAUUCCUAAAAAAAUUUGAUUUUUUCCCAUAGGAAUGCAUGGGUUAGGGUUAUGGUUAGGGUUAGGGUUGGAGCUAGGGUUAGGGUUAGGGUUAGGGUUGGAGUUAGGGUUAGUGUUGGAGCUAGGGUUAGGGUUGGGCUUGGAGCUAGGAUUUUUCUGAGUGCACUGAACCAACUCCCGAGUCUCUAGGACAUUCCUAAAAAAAUUUGAUUUUUUCCCAUAGGAAUGCAUGGGUUAGGGUUAGGGUUAGGCUUGGAGCUAGGGUUAGGGUUAGGGUUAGGGUUGGAGUUAGGGUUAGUGUUGGAGCUAGGGUUAGGGUUGGGCUUGGAGCUAGGAUUUUUCUGAGUGCACUGAACCAACUCCCGAGUCUCUAGGACAUUCCUAAAAAAAAUUGAUUUUUUUCCCAUAGGAAUGCAUGGGUUAGGGUUAUGGUUAGGGUUAGGGUUGGAGCUAGGGUUAGGGUUGGAGUUAGGGUUAGUGUUGGAGCUAGGGUUAGGGUUAGGGUUAGGGUUAGGGUUAGGGUUAGGGUUAGGUUAGGGUUAGGGUUGGAGCUAGGGUUAGGGUUAGGGUUAGGGUUGGAGUUAGGGUUAGUGUUGGACCUAGGGUUAGGGUUGGGCUUGGAGCUAGGAUUUUUCUGAGUGCAAUGAACCAACUCCCGAGUCUCUAGGACGUUCCUAAACAAAUUUGAUUUUUUCCCAUAGGAAUGCAUGGGUUAGGGUUAGGGUUAGGGUUGGAGCUAGGGUUAGGGUUAGGGUUAGGGUUGGAGUUAGGGUUAGUGUUGGAGCUAGGGUUAGGGUUGGGCUUGGAGCUAGGAUUUUUCUGAGUGCAAUGAACCAACUCCCGAGUCUCUAGGACGUUCCUAAAAAAUUUGAUUUUUUCCCAUAGGAAUGCAUGGGUUAGGGUUAGGGUUAGGGUUGGAGCUAGGGUUAGGGUUAGGGUUAGGGUUGGAGUUAAGGUUAGUGUUGGAGCUAGGGUUAGGGUUGGGCUUGGAGCUAGGAUUUUUCUGAGUGCAAUGAACCAACUCCCGAGUCUCUAGGACGUUCCUAAAAAAAAUUGAUUUUUUCCCAUAGGAAUGCAUGGGUUAGGGUUAUGGUUAGGGUUAGGGUUGGAGCUAGGGUUAGGGUUAGGGUUAGGGUUGGAGUUAGGGUUAGUGUUGGAGCUAGGGUUAGGGUUGGGCUUGGAGCUAGGAUUUUUCUGAGUGCAAUGAACCAACCCCCGAGUCUCUAGGACGUUCCUAAAAAAAUUUGAUUUUUUCCCAUAGGAAUGCAUGGGUUAGGGUUAUGGUUAGGGUUAGGGUUGGAGCUAGGGUUAGGGUUAGGGUUAGGGUUGGAGUUAGGGUUAGUGUUGGAGCUAGGGUUAGGGUUGGGCUUGGAGCUAGGAUUUUUCUGAGUGCAAUGAACCAACUCCCGAGUCUCUAGGACGUUCCUAAAAAAAUUUGAUUUUUUUCCCCNNNNNNNNNNNNNNNNNNNNNNNNNNNNNNNNNNNNNNNNNNNNNNNNNNNNNNNNNNNNNNNNNNNNNNNNNNNNNNNNNNNNNNNNNNNNNNNNNNNNNNNNNNNNNNNNNNNNNNNNNNNNNNNNNNNNNNNNNNNNNNNNNNNNNNNNNNNNNNNNNNNNNNNNNNNNNNNNNNNNNNNNNNNNNNNNNNNNNNNNGUCUCUGAGGACAUUCCUAAAAAAAAUUUGAUUUUUCCCAUAGGAAUGCAUGGAGUUGGGGUUAGGGUUAGGGUUGGAGCUAGGGUUAGGGUUAGGGUUGGGGUUGGAGUUAGGGUUAGUGUUGGAGCUAGGGUUAGGGUUGGGCUUGGAGCUAGGAUUUUUCUGAGUGCAAUGAACCAACUCCCGAGUCUCUAGGACGUUCCUAAAAAAAUUUGAUUUUUUCCCAUAGGAAUGCAUGGGUUAGGGUUAGGGUUAGGGUUGGAGCUAGGGUUAGGGUUAGGGUUAGGGUUGGAGUUAGGGUUAGUGUUGGAGCUAGGGUUAGGGUUGGGCUUGGAGCUAGGAUUUUUCUGAGUGCACUGAACCAACUCCCGAGUCUCUAGGACGUUCCUAAAAAAAUUUGAUUUUUUUCCCAUAGGAAUGCAUGGGUUAGGGUUAUGGUUAGGGUUGGAGCUAGGGUUAGGGUUAGGGUUAGGGUUGGAGUUAGGGUUAGUGUUGGAGCUAGGGUUAGGGUUGGGCUUGGAGCUAGGAUUUUUCUGAGUGCACUGAACCAACUCCCGAGUCUCUAGGACGUUCCUAAAAAAAUUUGAUUUUUUCCCAUAGGAAUGCAUGGGUUAGGGUUAGGGUUAGGGUUGGAGCUAGGGUUAGGGUUAGGGUUAGGGUUGGAGUUAGGGUUAGUGUUGGAGCUAGGGUUAGGGUUGGGCUUGGAGCUAGGAUUUUUCUGAGUGCACUGAACCAACUCCCGAGUCUCUAGGACGUUCCUAAAAAAAAAUUUGAUUUUUUCCCAUAGGAAAUGCAUGGGUUAGGGUUAGGGUUAGGGUUGGAGCUAGGGUUAGGGUUAGGGUUAGGGUUGGAGUUAGGGUUAGUGUUGGAGCUAGGGUUAGGGUUGGGCUUGGAGCUAGGAUUUUUCUGAGUGCACUGAACCAACUCCCGAGUCUCUAGGACAUUCCUAAAAAAAUUUGAUUUUUUCCCAUAGGAAUGCAUGGGUUAGGGUUAUGGUUGGGGUUAGGGUUGGAGCUAGGGUUAGGGUUAGGGUUAGGGUUGGAGUUAGGGUUAGUGUUGGAGCUAGGGUUAGGGUUGGGCUUGGAGCUAGGAUUUUUCUGAGUGCACUGAACCAACUCCCGAGUCUCUAGGACAUUCCUAAAAAAAAUUGAUUUUUUCCCAUAGGAAUGCAUGGGUUAGGGUUAUGGUUAGGGUUAGGGUUGGAGCUAGGGUUAGGGUUAGGGUUAGGGUUGGAGUUAGGGUUAGUGUUGGAGCUAGGGUUAGGGUUGGGCUUGGAGCUAGGAUUUUUCUGAGUGCACUGAACCAACUCCCGAGUCUCUAGGACAUUCCUAAAAAAAUUUGAUUUUUCCCAUAGGAAUGCAUGGGUUAGGGUUAGGGUUAGGGUUGGAGCUAGGGUUAGGGUUAGGGUUAGGGUUGGAGUUAGGGUUAGUGUUGGAGCUAGGGUUAGGGUUGGGCUUGGAGCUAGGAUUUUUCUGAGUGCACUGAACCAACUCCCGAGUCUCUAGGACAUUCCUAAAAAAAUUUGAUUUUUUCCCAUAGGAAUGCAUGGGUUAGGGUUAGGGUUAGGGUUGGAGCUAGGGUUAGGGUUAGGGUUAGGGUUGGAGUUAGGGUUAGUGUUGGAGCUAGGGUUAGGGUUGGGCUUGGAGCUAGGAUUUUUCUGAGUGCACUGAACCAACUCCCGAGUCUCUAGGACAUUCCUAAAAAAAUUUGAUUUUUCCCAUAGGAAUGCAUGGGUUAGGGUUAUGGUUAGUUAGGGUUGGAGCUAGGGUUAGGGUUAGGGUUAGGGUUGGAGUUAGGGUUAGUGUUGGAGCUAGGGUUAGGGUUGGGCUUGGAGCUAGGAUUUUUCUGAGUGCAAUGAACCAACUCCCGAGUCUCUAGGACGUUCCUAAAAAAAUUUGAUUUUUUUCCCAUAGGAAUGCAUGGGUUAGGGUUAGGGUUAGGGUUAGGGUUGGAGCUAGGGUUAGGGUUAGGGUUAGGGUUGGAGUUAGGGUUAGUGUUGGAGCUAGGGUUAGGGUUGGGCUUGGAGCUAGGAUUUUUCUGAGUGCAAUGAACCAACUCCCGAGUCUCUAGGACGUUCCUAAAAAAAUUUGAUUUUUUCCCAUAGGAAUGCAUGGGUUAGGGUUAUGGUUAGGGUUAGGGUUGGAGCUAGGGUUAGGGUUAGGGUUAGGGUUGGAGUUAGGGUUAGUGUUGGAGCUAGGGUUAGGGUUGGGCUUGGAGCUAGGAUUUUCUGAGUGCAAUGAACCAACUCCCGAGUCUCUAGGACGUUCCUAAAAAAAUUUGAUUUUUUCCCAUAGGAAUGCAUGGGUUAGGGUUAGGGUUAGGGUUGGAGCUAGGGUUAGGGUUAGGGUUAGGGUUGGAGUUAGGGUUAGUGUUGGAGCUAGGGUUAGGGUUGGGCUUGGAGCUAGGAUUUUUCUGAGUGCAAUGAACCAACUCCCGAGUCUCUAGGACGUUCCUAAAAAAUUUGAUUUUUUCCCAUAGGAAUGCAUGGGUUAGGGUUAGGGUUAGGGUUAGGGUUGGAGCUAGGGUUAGGGUUAGGGUUAGGGUUGGAGUUAGGGUUAGUGUUGGAGCUAGGGUUAGGGUUGGGCUUGGAGCUAGGAUUUUCUGAGUGCACUGAACCAACUCCCGAGUCUCUAGGACAUUCCUAAAAAAAUUUGAUUUUUUCCCAUAGGAAUGCAUGGGUUAGGGUUAGGGUUAGGGUUAGGGUUGGAGCUAGGGUUAGGGUUAGGGUUAGGGUUGGAGUUAGGGUUAGUGUUGGAGCUAGGGUUAGGGUUGGGCUUGGAGCUAGGAUUUUUCUGAGUGCACUGAACCAACUCCCGAGUCUCUAGGACAUUCCUAAAAAAAUUUGAUUUUUCCCAUAGGAAUGCAUGGGUUAGGGUUAGGGUUAGGGUUGGAGCUAGGGUUAGGGUUAGGGUUGGAGUUAGGGUUAGUGUUGGAGCUAGGGUUAGGGUUGGGCUUGGAGCUAGGAUUUUUCUGAGUGCAAUGAACCAACUCCCGAGUCUCUAGGACGUUCCUAAAAAAUUUGAUUUUUUCCCAUAGGAAUGCAUGGGUUAGGGUUAGGGUUAGGGUUGGAGCUAGGGUUAGGGUUAGGGUUAGGGUUGGAGUUAGGGUUAGUGUUGGAGCUAGGGUUAGGGUUGGGCUUGGAGCUAGGAUUUUUCUGAGUGCACUGAACCAACUCCCGAGUCUCUAGGACGUUCCUAAAAAAAUUUGAUUUUUUCCCAUAGGAAUGCAUGGGUUAGGGUUAGGGUUAGGGUUAGGGUUGGAGCUAGGGUUAGGGUUAGGGUUAGGGUUGGAGUUAGGGUUAGUGUUGGAGCUAGGGUUAGGGUUGGGCUUGGAGCUAGGAUUUUUCUGAGUGCACUGAACCAACUCCCGAGUCUCUCUAGGAGGCGUUCCUAAAAAAUUUGAUUUUUUCCCAUAGGAAUGCAUGGGUUAGGGUUAGGGUUAGGGUUAGGGUUGGAGCUAGGGUUAGGGUUAGGGUUAGGGUUGGAGUUAGGGUUAGUGUUGGAGCUAGGGUUAGGGUUGGGCUUGGAGCUAGGAUUUUUCUGAGUGCAAUGAACCAACUCCCGAGUCUCUUGGACGUUCCUAAAAAAAUUUGAUUUUUUUCCCAUAGGAAUGCAUGGGUUAGGGUUAGGGUUAGGGUUGGAGCUAGGGUUAGGGUUAGGGUUAGGGUUGGAGUUAGGGUUAGUGUUGGAGCUAGGGUUAGGGUUGGGCUUGGAGCUAGGAUUUUUCUGAGUGCACUGAACCAACUCCCGAGUCUCUAGGACAUUCCUAAAAAAAUUUGAUUUUUUCCCAUAGGAAUGCAUGGGUUAGGGUUAGGGUUAGGGUUGGAGCUAGGGUUAGGGUUAGGGUUAGGGUUGGAGUUAGGGUUAGUGUUGGAGCUAGGGUUAGGGUUGGGCUUGGAGCUAGGAUUUUUCUGAGUGCACUGAACCAACUCCCGAGUCUCUAGGACAUUCCUAAAAAAAUUUGAUUUUUUCCCAUAGGAAUGCAUGGGUUAGGGUUAUGGUUAGGGUUAGGGUUGGAGCUAGGGUUAGGGUUAGGGUUAGGGUUGGAGUUAGGGUUAGUGUUGGAGCUAGGGUUAGGGUUGGGCUUGGAGCUAGGAUUUUUCUGAGUGCACUGAACCAACUCCCGAGUCUCUAGGACGUUCCUAAAAAAUUUGAUUUUUUCCCAUAGGAAUGCAUGGGUUAGGGUUAUGGUUAGGGUUAGGGUUGGAGCUAGGGUUAGGGUUAGGGUUAGGGUUGGAGUUAGGGUUAGUGUUGGAGCUAGGGUUAGGGUUGGGCUUGGAGCUAGGAUUUUUCUGAGUGCACUGAACCAACUCCCGAGUCUCUAGGACAUUCCUAAAAAAAUUUGAUUUUUUUCCCAUAGGAAUGCAUGGGUUAGGGUUAGGGUUAGGGUUGGAGCUAGGGUUAGGGUUAGGGUUAGGGUUGGAGUUAGGGUUAGUGUUGGAGCUAGGGUUAGGGUUGGGCUUGGAGCUAGGAUUUUUCUGAGUGCACUGAACCAACUCCCGAGUCUCUAGGACAUUCCUAAAAAAAAAUUUGAUUUUUUCCCAUAGGAAUGCAUGGGUUAGGGUUAUGGUUAGGGUUAGGGUUGGAGCUAGGGUUAGGGUUAGGGUUAGGGUUGGAGUUAGGGUUAGUGUUGGAGCUAGGGUUAGGGUUGGGCUUGGAGCUAGGAUUUUUCUGAGUGCACUGAACCAACUCCCGAGUCUCUAGGACAUUCCUAAAAAAAAAUUGAUUUUUUCCCAUAGGAAUGCAUGGGUUAGGGUUAUGGUUAGGGUUAGGGUUGGAGCUAGGGUUAGGGUUAGGGUUAGGGUUGGAGUUAGGGUUAGUGUUGGAGCUAGGGUUAGGGUUGGGCUUGGAGCUAGGAUUUUUCUGAGUGCAAUGAACCAACUCCCGAGUCUCUAGGACAUUCCUAAAAAAAUUUGAUUUUUUCCCAUAGGAAUGCAUGGGUUAGGGUUAGGGUUAGGGUUGGAGCUAGGGUUAGGGUUAGGGUUGGGUUGGAGUUAGGGUUAGUGUUGGAGCUAGGGUUAGGGUUGGGCUUGGAGCUAGGAUUUUUCUGAGUGCAAUGAACCAACUCCCGAGUCUCUAGGACAUUCCUAAAAAAAUUUGAUUUUUUCCCAUAGGAAUGCAUGGGUUAGGGUUAGGGUUAGGGUUGGAGCUAGGGUUAGGGUUAGGGUUAGGGUUGGAGUUAGGGUUAGUGUUGGAGCUAGGGUUAGGGUUGGGCUUGGAGCUAGGAUUUUUCUGAGUGCAAUGAACCAACUCCCGAGUCUCUAGGACAUUCCUAAAAAAAAAUUUGAUUUUUUCCCAUAGGAAUGCAUGGGUUAGGGUUAUGGUUAGGGUUAGGGUUGGAGCUAGGGUUAGGGUUAGGGUUAGGGUUGGAGUUAGGGUUAGUGUUGGAGCUAGGGUUAGGGUUGGGCUUGGAGCUAGGAUUUUUCUGAGUGCAAUGAACCAACUCCCGAGUCUCUAGGACGUUCUAAAAAAAAUUUGAUUUUUUCCCAUAGGAAUGCAUGGGUUAGGGUUAUGGUUAGGGUUAGGGUUGGAGCUAGGGUUAGGGUUAGGGUUAGGGUUGGAGUUAGGGUUAGUGUUGGAGCUAGGGUUAGGGUUGGGCUUGGAGCUAGGAUUUUUCUGAGUGCAAUGAACCAACUCCCGAGUCUCUAGGACGUUCCUAAAAAAAUUUGAUUUUUUCCCAUAGGAAUGCAUGGGUUAGGGUUAGGGUUAGGGUUGGAGCUAGGGUUAGGGUUAGGGUUAGGGUUGGAGUUAGGGUUAGUGUUGGAGCUAGGGUUAGGGUUGGGCUUGGAGCUAGGAUUUUUCUGAGUGCAAUGAACCAACUCCCGAGUCUCUAGGACGUUCCUAAAAAAAAAUUUGAUUUUUUCCCAUAGGAAUGCAUGGGUUAGGGUUAGGGUUAGGGUUGGAGCUAGGGUUAGGGUUAGGGUUAGGGUUGGAGUUAGGGUUAGUGUUGGAGCCAGGGUUAGGGUUGGGCUUGGAGCUAGGAUUUUUCUGAGUGCACUGAACCAACUCCCGAGUCUCUAGGACAUUCCUAAAAAAUUUGAUUUUUUUCCCAUAGGAAUGCAUGGGUUAGGGUUAGUGGUUAGGGUUAGGGUUGGAGCUAGGGUUAGGGUUAGGGUUAGGGUUGGAGUUAGGGUUAGUGUUGGAGCUAGGGUUAGGGUUGGGCUUGGAGCUAGGAUUUUUCUGAGUGCAAUGAACCAACCCCCGAGUCUCUAGGACGUUCCUAAAAAAAUUUGAUUUUUUCCCUAUAGGAAUGCAUGGGUUAGGGUUAGGGUUAGGGUUGGAGCUAGGGUUAGGGUUAGGGUUAGGGUUGGAGUUAGGGUUAGUGUUGGAGCUAGGGUUAGGGUUGGGCUUGGAGCUAGGAUUUUUCUGAGUGCAAUGAACCAACUCCCGAGUCUCUAGGACGUUCCUAAAAAAAUUUGAUUUUUUCCCAUAGGAAUGCAUGGGUUAGGGUUAGGGUUAGGGUUGGAGCUAGGGUUAGGGUUAGGGUUAGGGUUGGAGUUAGGGUUAGUGUUGGAGCUAGGGUUAGGGUUGGGCUUGGAGCUAGGUUUUUCUGAGGGUGCACUGAACCAACUCCCGAGUCUCUAGGACAUUCCUAAAAAAAUUUGAUUUUUUCCCAUAGGAAUGCAUGGGUUAGGGUUAUGGUUAGGGUUGGAGCUAGGGUUAGGGUUAGGGUUAGGGUUGGAGUUAGGGUUAGUGUUGGAGCUAGGGUUAGGGUUGGGCUUGGAGCUAGGAUUUUUCUGAGUGCACUGAACCAACUCCCGAGUCUCUAGGACAUUCCUAAAAAAAUUUGAUUUUUUCCCAUAGGAAUGCAUGGGUUAGGGUUAGGGUUAGGGUUGGAGCUAGGGUUAGGGUUAGGGUUAGGGUUGGAGUUAGGGUUAGUGUUGGAGCUAGGGUUAGGGUUGGGCUUGGAGCUAGGAUUUUUCUGAGUGCACUGAACCAACUCCCGAGUCUCUAGGACAUUCCUAAAAAAAUUUGAUUUUUCCCAUAGGAAUGCAUGGGUUAGGGUUAUGGUUAGGGUUAGGGUUGGAGCUAGGGUUAGGGUUAGGGUUAGGGUUGGAGUUAGGGUUAGUGUUGGAGCUAGGGUUAGGGUUGGGCUUGGAGCUAGGAUUUUUCUGAGUGCACUGAACCAACUCCCGAGUCUCUAGGACAUUCCUAAAAAAAUUUGAUUUUUUUCCCAUAGGAAUGCAUGGGUUAGGGUUAGGGUUAUGGUUAGGGUUAGGGUUAGGGUUAGGGUUAGGGUUGGAGUUAGGGUUAGUGUUGGAGCUAGGGUUAGGGUUGGGCUUGGAGCUAGGAUUUUUCUGAGUGCACUGAACCAACUCCCGGGUCUCUAGGACAUUCCUAAAAAAAUUUGAUUUUUUCCCAUAGGAAUGCAUGGGUUAGGGUUAGGGUUAGGGUUGGAGCUAGGGUUAGGGUUAGGGUUAGGGUUGGAGUUAGGGUUAGUGUUGGAGCUAGGGUUAGGGUUGGGCUUGGAGCUAGGAUUUUUCUGAGUGCAAUGAACCAACUCCCGAGUCUCUAGGACAUUCCUAAAAA
rnacentral:lncRNA from 1 species